UUACUUGAUGACUUAUAAUGCAAUUUUUGUCUCCAAUUUUAUAAAAUUUUAAAAACUACCAACAACUUUAGCUAAAGUAACGCAAAAUAAACUCACGUCGCAGAAAAUUACUUUUAAAAAAGUUACACUUGAAGGACAACAUCCAUUGUGAGAAACCGAAGCCGAGAUUCUCAUUUAAAUUGGUUUAUCAUUUACUAAAUGUAUGUCAAGUCAAAUUUUGGAAACCAGAAUAGGAAAUACAUUGAUUGCAUUGGUUUAUGUGAAAGGGCCCAAAAAUCCUAGCUGCGCAACUGACGAGUAAGGAACAUUUUAUCAUUCAAAUAAGCUAUACUCUUAUGCAAAGCUUAUAUUUAUGUUGUCAAUUCUUAUACUGCUUUUUGAUUUGGACGUUUUAAUCAAUGUAUAACAAUAAUUUAAUAAAAUUCAUCAAAAAAUA